GCGGGUGUAGCUCAAUGGCUAGAGUCCCAGCCUUCCAAGCUGGUCAUGCGAGUUCGAUUCUCGUCACCCGCUCCA
rnacentral:tRNA from 1 species